rnacentral:tRNA from 1 species
CGGGUGUAACUCAAUGGUAGAGUUCCAGCUUCCCAAGCUGGCUACGUGGGUUCGAUUCCCAUCACCC